CCUACGGGAGGCAGCAGUGAGGAAUAUUGGUCAAUGGGCGCGAGCCUGAACCAGCCAAGUCGCGUGAGGGAAGACGGCCCUAUGGGUUGUAAACCUCUUUUGCCGGGGAGCAAAAGACGGCACGCGUCCCGGCCCGAGGGUACCCGGAGAAAAAGCAUCGGCUAACUCCGUGCCAGCAGCCGCGGUAAUACGGAGGAUGCGAGCGUUAUCCGGAUUUAAUGGGUUUAAAGGGUGCGCAGGCGGAAGUUGAAGUCAGCGGUAAAAUUGAGGGGCUCAACCCCUUCGAGCCGUUGAAACUGGGUGUCUUGAGUGAGCGAGAAGAAUGCGGAAUGCGUGGUGUAGCGGUGAAAUGCAUAGAUAUCACGCAGAACUCCGAUUGCGAAGGCAGCAUACCGGCGCUCAACUGACGCUCAUGCACGAAAGUGUGGGUAUCGAACAGGAUUAGAUACCCUAGUAGUC
rnacentral:rRNA from 1 species